ACUGAACGCUGGCGGCAGGCCUAACACAUGCAAGUCGAGCGGAUGAAGGGUGCUUGCUCCUGGAUUCCGCGGCGCACGGGUGUGUAAUGCCUAUGAAUCUGCCUGGUAUUGGUGUAUAACGUCCUGAAGCGGGCGCUACUACCGCCUACGUCCUGCGGGAGAAACUUGGGGAUCUUCGGACCUCACGCUCUCAGAUGAGCCUAGGUCGGGUUAGCUAGUUGGUGGGGUAAAGGCCUACCAAGGCGACGAUCCGUAACUGGUCUGAGAGGAUGAUCAGUCACACGGGAAGUGAGACACGGUCCAGACGCCUAAGGGAGGCAGCAGUGGGGAAUAUUGGACAAUGGGCGAAAGCCUGAUCCAGCCAUGCCGCGUGUGUGAAGAAGGUCUUCGGAUUGUAAAGCACUUUAAGUUGGGAGGAAGGGCAGUAAGUUAAUACCUUGCUGUUUUGACGUUACCAACAGAAUAAGCACCGGCUAACUUCGUG
rnacentral:rRNA from 1 species